rnacentral:rRNA from 1 species
GACGAACGCUGGCGGCGUGCUUAACACAUGCAAGUCGAACGGAAAGGCCCUGCUUUUGUGGGGUGCUCGAGUGGCGAACGCGUGAGUAACACGUGAAUAAACCGCCCUUGACUUUGGGAUAACUUCAGGAAACACGGGCUCAUACCGGAUAGGAGCUCCUGCUGCACGGGGGUGGUUGGAAAGUUUCGGCGGUUGGGGAUCGACUCGCGGCUUAUGAGCUUGAUGGUGGGGUAGUGGCUUACCAAGGCUUUGACGGGUAGCCGACCUGAGAGGGUGGCCAGCGACAUUGGGCCUGCGAGAGGGAGCAGAAGGCUACGGGAGGCAGCGGUGGGGAAUAUUGCACAAUGGGCGGAAGCCAGAUGCAGCAACGCCGCGAGCGGGAUGACGGCCUUCGGGUUGUAAACCACUUUCGCCUGUGACGAAGCGGGAGUGACGGUAAUGGGUAAAGAAGCACCGGCUAACUACGUG